CAGUAAAGGAGGGUUGUUAGCCGACAUUUUUGG
rnacentral:tRNA from 1 species